ACGCACGCUGGCGGCGUGCUUAACACAUGCAAGUCGAACGGAAAGGCCUGCUUUCCCUUGUGGAUUGCGGGUGCUCGAGUGGCGAACGGGUGAGUAACACGUGAGUGAUCUGCCCCCAACUUGGGUAUAAGCCUGGGAAACUGGGUCUAAUUCCCGAUAGGACUGCAGGGUGGUGCCUGUGGUGGAAAACGAUUUUCUAGUGGUUGGGGAUGAGCUCGCGGCCUAUCAGCUUGUUGGUGGGGUAAUGGCCUACCAAGGCGGCGACGGGUAGCCGGCCUGAGAGGGUGGACGGCCACAUUGGGACUGAGAUACGGCCCAGACUCCUACGGGAGGCAGCAGUGGGGAAUAUUGCACAAUGGGCGGAAGCCUGAUGCAGCGACGCCGCGUGGGGGAUGACGGCCUUCGGGUUGUAAACUCCUUUCGACCGCGAGGAAGCCACCUGGUUGGAAGGGUGGUGACGGUAGUGGUAGAAGAAGCACCGGCUAACUACGUG
rnacentral:rRNA from 1 species